rnacentral:misc_RNA from 1 species
UCAUCUAUUGCUGGUUUAGGUGGGUGCCCGUAUGCUAAGGGAGCAUCAGGCAAUGUUGCCACUGAAGAUGUUGUCUACAUGCUUAAUGGGCUUGGUGUGCAAACCAAUGUGGAUCUACAUAAACUCCUCUCUGCUGGGGAUUUCAUAAGCAACCACUUAGGUCGCCCAUCUGGAUCGAAGACUGCUGUUGCCUUGAGCCGAGUUACAGCUGAUGCCUCAAAAAUAUGAGGUUUUGCAGGUAGACGUAUUCAUAUCCAGAUACAAACCGGGAAAAUUGCAGAUUGAUUCCUGCAUGUGUUCCUAACACGUAUGCCAU